rnacentral:tRNA from 1 species
GCCUGGGUGGCUCAGUUGGUUGAGCCUCUGAUUCUUGAUUUUGGCUUAGAUCAUGAUCUCACCGUUCAUGGGUUCAAGCCCCACCUUGGGCU